CGUCCAAGCAGUAAGGCUGAGUGUUAGGCAAAUCCGGCACUCAUAAGGCUGAGCUGUGAUGGGGAGAGGAAAUUGUUUCCUCGAGUCGUUGAUUUCACACUGCCGAGAAAAGCCACUAGAUAGAUAACAGGUGCCCGUACCGCAAACCGACACAGGUAGUCAAGAUGAGAAUUCUAAGGUGAGCGAGCGAACUCUCGUUAAGGAACUCGGCAAAAUGACCCCGUAACUU
rnacentral:rRNA from 1 species